ACUUCAACGCUUGCAUUUGAAUGCGACAAUUUUCUCCUUUACAAUUCCAAACCAUAACAUUCCACUCUUCCCUUGAAACCUCUCACACUCAUCUUUUUCAGUAUAAAUUAGGAGCUCAAGACAUUUGGUGAACAAAUCUAUGUCGGAGAAGUUUUCGGGUUCUUUUGAUAAGUGCAAUUGUAAGAGAUCAAUGGUGACAAGAAGGAAAAACAGGUGUGACCUGUUUUCUACUGGCCCAUUAAACAUCCAUUUUAAAGAAAUUAUGGGAAUGGAGCUGUGUGAGGUGACAUCAAUGGUAGUUCUGCUGAAAAAAU